ensembl:lncRNA
UGCAAAACACACAAAUAUACAUGUUUGUAAAUGAAAUUUAAAUAUACAUAUAUAUGAUGAAUGAAAAGAAUUUGCAGUAACAUGCUACCAAAGCAUUCAAUAUAGCUCGAAGAAAGUACAUACAUUCACUUCUGCCUGAUGACAUUAUUUUCUUCUUCCAGAGUUUGAAAGUUAAAUAAGCCUACAUAAGAACAGUUUUGGUAAUAUGGUUUCUUAUGUCUGUUACCAUUUAAGACCUUUAUUGUUAGUUUAUAAUAGUUGUAUUUUUGAGUAAGUCUUUCAGUCAUAUAUUUAUAAAUGAUUAUUGAAAGCCUGCCCUUAGGCAUGUGCAUAUACAGUUGCAAUCAAAAUUAUUAAUCCCCCAUUACAAAUGAGGUUUAUUGUCCAAAUUUACAGACUUUCAGCUGUUUGCAAUGAACAGAUCAAACAAAAGCAAUUGAAAUAGUUCAACGCAAUGAAUGCUUAAGUGGUUUCCCCAAAUUCAACUGAAAAUGCAACUUAUAAUGAUUUCUCCAGUUUCAAAAUGAUUCUACCCCCUGAAUAGAAUCCCUCACAACAGCACAAAUAUGCAAAACAGGUGUGCUUGAGCUGGAACACAUGACAUACCUGAACUGGCUAUGGGCAGACAAUAUGUGAAAUACCUGGACGGGGCAGAAAAAGGAAGCUAUCAACAGCUGCACCAGAUUUCUGAGAAAGCAGGUUGUGAAAAACCCUCAAGUGACUGCAAAAGACCUGCAGCAGGACUUGGUGGCAACAGGCACUGUGGUUUCAGUGAGCACAGUAAGGUGCGUACUAAACACAAGGUUUCCAUGCCAGAACUCCAAGACGUACACCACUACUGACCCAAAAGCACAAGCAAAUUAGUCCCAAAAUCAUAUCAGUAAGCCACAGAAGUUUUGUGAUUCUGUUCUGUGAUGUGUUUUGUGAUGAAACAAAAUUGGAACUUUUCGGCACGAUGGAUCAGCAGUAUGCCUGGAGGAAGAAGAAUGAAGAAAGAACACUGUCCACACUCAAGCACGGUGGUGGCUCGGUGAUGCUCUGGGGCUGCUUUGCAUCCUCUGGCACUGGAAACCUGCAGCGUGUGGAAGGCAAGAUGGAUUCAUUGAAGUAUCAGGAAAUCCUAGGAGAAAACAUCAUGCCGUCUGUGAGGAAGCUGAAGCUCAUACGUCAUUGAACCUUCCAACAGGACAAUGAUCCCAAGCAUAACUCAAAUUCCACCAAGGCUUGGUUGCAGAAAAUAUCCUGGACAAUUCUACAGGGCCAUCACAAUCACUUGACUUGAACCCUAUAGAAAAUCUCUGGUGGGAUUAGAAGAAGGAGGUUACAGCAUGCAAACCCAAGAAUAUUACUGAACUGGAGGCCAUUGCUCAUGAGAAAUGGGCUAAUAUUCCUCAGGAAUGCUGCCAGAAGUUAUGCAUCUCAUUUGCAGCAGGUCAUAACAGCAAAAGGGUGCACUACUAUGUACUGAAGAUGCUUGCCAUGAAGGGGGUGAAUAAUUCUGAAACUGGAAAAAUCAUUAUAAGUUGCAUUUUCAGUUGAAUUUGGGGAAACCACUUGAACCAUUCAUUGUGUUGAACUAUUUCAAUUGCUUUUGUUUGAUCUGUUCAUUGCAAACAGCUGAAAGUCUGUAAAUUUUGACAAUAAACCUGAUUUGCAAUGGGGGUUGACUAAUUUUGAUUUCAACUGUAUUUUCCAUUCUUGUCUUCUUUGUGAUAAUCUCUUCUCUUUGUGAUAAUCUCUAUACUACAAAUGCAACAGACAGAGAAUGCUGUGGUAUUCCUUUAAACCCUAAGGCAGUGCUAGCUCUUGAAAGUGUUUAAUUUUCUUCUAUCACAUUAAUUAAAAUAUUGUACUGGA